UACGUAGGGGGCAAGCGUUGUCCGGAUUUAUUGGGCGUAAAGAGCGUGUAGGCGGCCUGACAGGUCUGCUGUGAAAACUCGAGGCUCAACCUCGAGAUGUCGGCGGAAACCGUCUGGCUAGAGUCCGGAAGAGGAGAGUGGAAUUCCUGGUGUAGCGGUGAAAUGCGCAGAUAUCAGGAAGAACACCUAUGGCGAAGGCAGCUCUCUGGACCGUUACUGACGCUGAGGCGCGAAAGCGUGGGGAGCAAACAGG
rnacentral:rRNA from 1 species